rnacentral:rRNA from 1 species
GACGAACGCUGGCGGCGUGCCUAAUACAUGCAAGUCGAACGCCUCUUUUUCCACCGGAGCUUGCUCCACCGGAAAAAGAGGAGUGGCGAACGGGUGAGUAACACGUGGGUAACCUGCCCAUCAGAAGGGGAUAACACUUGGAAACAGGUGCUAAUACCGUAUAACAAUCAAAACCGCAUGGUUUUGAUUUGAAAGGCGCUUUCGGGUGUCGCUGAUGGAUGGACCCGCGGUGCAUUAGCUAGUUGGUGAGGUAACGGCUCACCAAGGCAACGAUGCAUAGCCGACCUGAGAGGGUGAUCGGCCACACUGGGACUGAGACACGGCCCAGACUCCUACGGGAGGCAGCAGUAGGGAAUCUUCGGCAAUGGACGAAAGUCUGACCGAGCAACGCCGCGUGAGUGAAGAAGGUUUUCGGAUCGUAAAACUCUGUUGUUAGAGAAGAACAAGGAUGAGAGUAAAAUGUUCAUCCCUUGACGGUAUCUAACCAGAAAGCCACGGCUAACUACGUGCCAGCCGCCGCGGUAA